rnacentral:rRNA from 1 species
CGGAACGGGUGAGUAACGCGUGAGGAACCUGCCUCAAAGAGGGGGACAACAGUUGGAAACGACUGCUAAUACCGCAUAAGCCCACGGCUCGGCAUCGAGCAGAGGGAAAAGGAGCAAUCCGCUUUGAGAUGGCCUCGCGUCCGAUUAGCUAGUUGGUGAGGUAACGGCCCACCAAGGCGACGAUCGGUAGCCGGACUGAGAGGUUGAACGGCCACAUGGGACUGAGACACGGCCCAG